rnacentral:rRNA from 1 species
UAACGUAGCGAAAGCUACGCUAAUACCGCAUACGAUCUAUGGAUGAAAGCGGGGGAUCGCAAGACCUCGCGCGAUUGGAGCGGCCGAUAUCAGAUUAGGUAGUUGGUGAGGUAAAGGCUCACCAAGCCGACGAUCUGUAGCUGGUCUGAGAGGACGACCAGCCACACUGGGACUGAGACACGGCCCAGACUCCUACGGGAGGCAGCAGUGGGGAAUUUUGGACAAUGGGCGCAAGCCUGAUCCAGCGAUGCCGCGUGCAGGAUGAAGGCCUUCGGGUUGUAAACUGCUUUUGUACGGAACGAAACGGUGAGCUCUAAUACAGUUUGCUAAUGACGGUACCGUAAGAAUAAGCACCGGCUAACUACGUG